AAAGCUAUUUACUUACCAAUCUAUAACUAAUUUCAUAAACAACAAAUCGAAUAAAAUCUGAGCAGGCGCGUCAAUAAAAUUUGAAAGUUAUUAGUGAUAAAUGAUAAUAU
rnacentral:sRNA from 1 species